GGGAGUCCGAUAGCGAUAAAACUUGGAUCCUUGUGUAGGAUUAACCCCACUCAAUGAUUCGAUUAUUAAAGAAAAGCUUUACGAAAACUUGUUUGAAAAUGAGCCUAUGCAUGUGUUGGAAAUUUAGCUUUGCCGUAAAUGAACCCUAGCCUAUCCUUGAUAUACCCUGUGCAUAUAUUUGCUUGUAUCCCCCUCCGUGGAUGGGGUUGGACUUAUUGAGUAUGUUCGUACUCA
rnacentral:lncRNA from 1 species